AAAAAAGAGUUAAGAAUCUUUACAUAGAAACUAAAGUAAACAGGUUGUCCGGUUUCAAAGAAUAGCGUGUGGUAUGGGGACGCGUUAUUUCCAUCAGAUAUUUAAUGUGCUACUGCCUCUUUGAUAAUUUUCGUGCUGGAAUAGUCGAGCUUGAUUUUAUCCAGAACAUGAUGUAUCAAGAAAACGUGGUUCCAUGCAAGCCUAGGACCUGUGUUUGUUUACCUGUCGUCAGCGUGCGUGUGUCCUGUGUAGGAUCACCUUACAGAGGCUGUGGUUUUUAUGUAAAACAAUGGGAAAAGGAGCACGAUAAAGCACUGAAUUUGAACAGCUCCAGCAGUCUUCCAAUUGAACAAAAUCGCCCUAGUCACUGCACUGGUCCUCUCACUCUGCAGCCUAACUUUGGGGCGGGGGGGAAAGCCUCUCUUCUCGAAGUCUCUGUUUAUAAUCAUUGUAAUAAUAAUAUUCGGAUUAUUGUGUCCUUCCUGUUGGGCAAACGAGGCAAUAAUGGAGGUACCACAUUUCCAGAAAUGAUGGACCAUUCGAACAAUCGUCAUCAGCUUUUAAUAUGCAUCCUAUUGGAAAUCUUCGUGCGUGUUUUCCUGUUUCCCAGUUGAGGAAAGUUGGAAUAAAUGUAUGUAAGUGUCAACCAGGGGCGGCUCGUGGGGCUAAAAAGGGGACGUGCACAAUUAAGUUA